UACGAGGGGUGCAAGCGUUAUUCGGAAUUAUUGGGCGUAAAGGGUGCGUAGGUGGUAUAUUAAGUCAAUUGUUAAAAUUCCCCCGGCCUAACCGGGGGGUAUGCGGUAGAAACUGAUAUGCUAGAGGGUGGAAGAGAGAAGUGGAAUUCUCGGUGUAGCGGUAAAAUGCGUAGAUCUCGAGAGGAACACCAAUGGCGAAGGCAGCUUCUUGGUCCACACCUGACACUGAGGCACGAAAAGCGUGGGGGAGCAAACAGG
rnacentral:rRNA from 1 species